rnacentral:rRNA from 1 species
CGGAACACGUACAGAACCUUCCUUUGAGCGGGGGAUAGCCCGAAGAAAUUCGGAUUAAUACCCCAUAGUAAUAUUAUCUGGCAUCAGAUGGUAUUUAAAGAUUUAUCACUUAAAGAUGGCUGUGCGGCUGAUUAGGUAGUUGGUGCGGGUAACGGCCCACCAAGCCAGCGAUCAGUAACUGGUGUGAGAGCACGACCAGUCACACGGGCACUGAGACACGGGCCCG